AGAGUUUGAUCCUGGCUCAGAAUGAACGCUGGCGGCGUGCCUAACACAUGCAAGUCGCACGAGAAAGCCUGUUUUCGGACGGGCGAGUAAAGUGGCGCACGGGUGAGUAACGCGUAGGCAACCUACCCCUAUGUUUGGGAUAACAGUGCGAAAGCGCUGCUAAUACCGGAUACGAUCCUUAGGCGGGAGCUUGAGGGUGAAAACCGGCCUCUCUAUAGAAGCUGGUGCACGGGGAUGGGCCUGCGUCCUAUCAGCUAGUUGGCAGGGUAACGGCCUACCAAGGCGACGACGGGUAGCUGGUCUGAGAGGAUGAUCAGCCACACUGGCACUGGAACACGGGCCAGACUCCUACGGGAGGCAGCAGUGAGGAAUUUUGCGCAAUGGCCGCAAGGCUGACGCAGCAACGCCGCGUGGGUGAAGAAGGCCUUCGGGUCGUAAAGCCCUGUCAGGUGGGAAGAAACCCAUGGGGGUGAACAAUCCCCGUGCUUGACGGUACCACCAGAGGAAGCACCGGCUAACUCCGUGCCAGCAGCCGCGGUAAUACGGAGGGUGCGAGCGUUAUUCGGAAUUACUGGGCGUAAAGCGCGUGCAGGCGGUCUGGCAAGUCUGAUGUGAAAGCCCCGGGCUUAACCUGGGAAGAGCAUUGGAAACGGUCGGACUUGAGUACUGGAGAGGAAGGGAGAAUUCCCGGUGUAGAGGUGAAAUUCGUAGAGAUCGGGAGGAACACCAGUGGCGAAAGCGCCCUUCUGGACAGCUACUGACGCUGAGACGCGAAAGCGUGGGGAGCAAACAGGAUUAGAUACCCUGGUAGUCCACGCUGUAAACGAUGAGCACUAGGUGUAGCGGGUACUCAUUCCUGCUGUGCCGUAGCUAACGCGUUAAGUGCUCCGCCUGGGGAUUACGGUCGCAAGACUAAACUCAAAGGAAUUGACG
rnacentral:rRNA from 1 species